GGAGGGCAGAAAGGAUCGAGGUAGAGCUCUGGCUCUGGAUCUGCUGCAGAGAGAAAAGUUAGCUCUGGUGGCCUUUACCUCAGGCUUUGAUGACAGACAGAGGAACCAACAAUCUAACCUGAUGCCUGCCUCUCCCCACGCCAGUGCUGAGGAGCUCCUGCAGAGAAAGCCUGCUCUUCCAGCCCUUGUAUUCAGGACAGGUGCCGGGUGGUCCCUCAAGACCCUUUUUCAGCAGUAAAUCCUACCUGCUUUCACUGA
ensembl:lncRNA ZNF133-AS1 ZNF133 antisense RNA 1